GGGGAGUUGUCUUAUUUAUUAUGCACAGUAUCAAAAAAAUAGUUCAAGAUGGGCGAUGCACAGAUUUUGAGCGAUUUAGAGAGCAAUUUGCAGACUUUUUUCUUCUUCCAUUUAAAAGAGAAGAACACAAAUGACUUCAUUGAAUUUGUGGCAUGUUGGCUGGGGGAUUCUGGGAGUUGAAGUCCAUCCAUCUUCAAGCAUGCUAGAUGGAGGAUUCUGGGAGUUGAAGUCCAUCCAUCUUCAAGCAUGCUGGCUGGGGGAUUCUGGGAGUUGAAGUCCACCCGUCUUUAAUUCUCCAUUGUGCCUUCUCUAGUGACUUAAUUCCUAGCGGCCCUCCAUCUCCUUGGAGAGGUGACAACAGGGAGGAAGAGAGAUUACAGACGCUUCAAAUAGUCUUCCAAAGGCUGCAGAAUUUCUACAGGGACGAGCUCCACCAAGUGAUCCUUUCUCCACCUCCAAACCUCCAUGUUCUGGUCAGAGAGCCCUUCACAGGUAAUGGUAGCUGGGGAGCUUUGGGAAGGAAUUUCAGCUGGGAUAGAUAGUUAGAUAAAUAGACUUUGGGUUUGCUUUCUUGAAAAACUCACAACCGACAUCCCUCAGCCUGGUUUUAUGGCUGCCAGUCUAGAGAACUUUUUCUAAAUCUAACAGAGUUGGAAGGGACCUUGGAGGUCUCCUAGUCCAACCCCUGGCUUAGGGCGGAAAUUCCUCCUUGGUUCCAGGUUGCUUCUCUCCUUGAUUAGUUUCCAUCCGUUGCUUCUUGUCCUGCCUUCUUUGGGGCAGCCCCUCCAAUAUUGGAACCACACUAUUGUGUNNNNNNNNNNNNNNNNCCCCCCCCCCCCCCCAAGGCCUUCUCUUCAUUAAAAUCUGGGCUAUGAACCCAUUUUGCUGAGGGAGAAAUAGCAAUCUGAAGAAAAGAGAAAUUAUUUGCAACCACGGUUUUAAUCUUGAUCUUCCCAUUCAGCGCAGGCCAUUCAGGAGAUGAAGAAAUUGGUGCAGCUUUUGCUAGGAAGUGCCGUUCAGGUAGGUUGUGGGAAUCUAGCAAGGGAUGAUGAGAUCUUUCAUUGGUUUGCGGUGCUGGGUGGUUCCCCUUGCUGCGUGGGUUUCCC
rnacentral:lncRNA from 1 species